rnacentral:rRNA from 1 species
UGGGUAGUCCGCACGAGCGCACCCUACUUUUAGUUGCCACCAUUUAGUUGAGCACUCUAAAAGAACUGCCAGUGAUAAGCUGGAGGAAGGCGGGGAUGACGUCAAGUCCUCAUGGCCCUUACGUGUUGGGCUACACACGUGCUACAAUGGCAUUCACAAUGAGAUGCAAAGAGGCGACUCCUAGCUAAUCUCAAAAAAAUGCCUCAGUUCGGAUUGUACUCUGCAACUCGAGUACAUGAAGCUGGAAUUGCUAGUAAUCGCGGAUCAGCGCGCCGCGGUGAAUACGUUCCCGGGUCUUGUACACACCGCCCGUCACACCAUGGAAGUUGGUUACACCUGAAGGCAAAACUUAAAACUUUUGACUACGGUACGAUCAGCGACUGGGGUGAAAUCGUAACAAGGUAGCCGUAGGGGAACCUGCGGCUGGAUCACCUCCUUUCU